rnacentral:rRNA from 1 species
UACGGAGGGUGCAAGCGUUAUCCGGAUUCACUGGGUUUAAAAGGGUGCGUAGGCGGGCAGGUAAGUCCGUGGUGAAAUCUCUGAGCUUAACUCAGAAACUGCCAUGGAUACUAUUUGUCUUGAAUAUUGUGGAGGUAAGCGGAAUAUGUCAUGUAGCGGUGAAAUGCUUAGAUAUGACAUAGAACACCAAUUGCGAAGGCAGCUUACUACACAGUAAUUGACGCUGAGGCACGAAAGCGUGGGGAUCAAACAGG